AUCAAACUUGAAGACAAGGUAUGCUAGGCAAGAAACAACUUCGUUAGUGAGUGAAGUGGACACACUUUCGGGAGUUAUCAGAUGUGAACAGCCUAACAGGAAUAUCUAUGAGUUCACAGCCAACAUGGAGUUAAACAGGCAUAAGUUUCCACUCAGCCAAUCAAAUAUAAUCUUACGUGGUUGCCAGCUGAAGAACACCGAAUGGGCAAUGGGAGUGGCAGUUUAUGCUGGUCAAGAGACCAAGGCUAUGCUAAACAGUGCGGCAUCUCCUUCCAAAAGAAGCAGGCUGGAGACCUACAUGAAUCGGGAAACACUUUGGUUGUCUGUUUUUCUUUUUGUCAUGUGCUUGGCAGUAGCAUCCGGGAUGUGUGUAUGGCUGAAAGAACAUGAGAAACAGCUUGAUACCCUGCCUUAUUACCGGAAAGUUUACUCUGAAAAAGGAACACAUCCUGGUAAACGGUAUAGAUAUUAUGGGAUUCCUAUGGAAACAUUUUUCUCUUUUUUGAGUUCCGUCAUAGUAUUCCAGAUAAUGAUACCCAUAUCUCUUUACAUCACGAUGGAGUUGGUUCGCUUG
rnacentral:misc_RNA from 1 species